rnacentral:rRNA from 1 species
UACGGAGGGUGCAAGCGUUAUCCGGAUUCACUGGGUUUAAAGGGUGCGUAGGUGGGUUGGUAAGUCAGUGGUGAAAUCUCCAGGCUUAACUUGGAAACUGCCAUUGAUACUAUCAAUCUUGAAUACCGUGGAGGUCAGCGGAAUAUGUCAUGUAGCGGUGAAAUGCUCAGAUAUGACAUAGAACACCAAUUGCGAAGGCAGCUGGCUACACGAAUAUUGACACUGAUGCACGAAAGCGUGGGGAUCAAACAGG